ensembl:lncRNA
CUUUCUGUCACGUCUUCAGGAUUUUCAUCUAGUCUCCCAUUCUGUACUGUAACAUUGUUUACCCAUUGUGGACCACAUAUCAAACUCACUCAUUUGGCUUUAAUGUCUCUAAAAGGAAAUACCAGUUUUUGAGAUGCUUUGAUGACAUGUCAAGAACUUGCAUAGAAUUUUCACUUUCUUCUUUCAAUAUAUGACCCAGCCUGUCCAUCAGGUUCUGGAACAACGUGCAUUUUGGACAUGGAACAUUUUAGUCUGUAUAACCAUUGCUGCAGAUUUGUGUGUUUAUAAAUAAAGCUGAACAAACAAUAUUACCCUUUUGGAAUAGGGCUUAUAAGCUUUUUGAUGGCUUCUUUAUCCUGGAAAAACCUUUUGCUUUUGGCCUCUUCCCUCGGUUCUCCUUCCUGAAUCUGUCAUCUUUCCCUAAUAAUGAGAAUUUAUACCGAGUAAUCAAGGCUUCGGUUGUGAAGGCUUAAUAAAUAAAAAAUAAUAAAUAAAUAAAUAAAUAAAGGCAUCAUAAUGAAUUACAACACGUUCUCCUUGCAGACAAGAAUAGCAUAUAUUUGCUUUAUAAAUCAUGUUUGGAAUAUGUAAAUUACUAUAACAUCAGAUUGUGAAAGUUGGAUAAAAAGCUCUAAAAUUUCAAAUAUUCUAAAGCCAUAAGAAAUUUCCUAUAGGAAUAACACUAAUGAUACUUACUGAGGGAGGAAAAAAUCAUUUGGCUAUGUAAAAUAAAAAUGAAUGGCAAUAUUUUAUGACAGAGUUAGGCUACUAAAUGAGUAAGAGGCAGCAUUUGCUGAACUACCACCAGAAUAGAAAAGUUAAUGAAUAAAUAUGCGAUACACAG